CUUCCCUCUUUCUCUCUCCCGCCCCCAACGCUCUCGAUUCCUUUUCCUCUCUCUCUCCCAGCCCCCUACUCCCCUGAUUCCCUUCCAUCUCUCUCUCUGCAUCUCAUUCCUCUCACGAAUCUCCCAAAACCCAAUCUCUCUAUUUGAAAUCUUCUCUACCCAAGGCUGCUUGAACUGAAGAGAUUGCUCCACGUUUUGAGAGAGCGGCGAGCGAAUAAGGAUUAUGUAGCAACCAGAUGGUAUCAUGCUCCUGAAAUCUGUGGCUCUUUCUUUUCCAAACUUAUGUAAUCUUUUAAGAUGGGGAGCAAUGGAUGCAGAAGCAUAUUCUGAAGCUUUAAAGAGUGUUAUGCAGAUUUUAUGGGAAAUUGGAACAUCUAGGUACACUGGUUCUGGAACCACAUGGAUAAAGGCAUGGAUCUCCGCCUUUGAAUCGUUGACCCAUUAUGAGGUUGAGCAUAUUUGAAAAGGAAUUCCUGAUUUUAAUAGAAGGAAUAUAGAGUCACUUAUAACUGAAGAUAACCUUGAAGUACUCAGGGCUACGGAGAGUUUGGAAGUCAAGAUUAUAACUUUUGAGGACAUGUUAAGAACAUGUUUUAUUCAUUAUGUUGUUCAUGAAGGCAAUAAUUAAGGUACCAAUAUUGAUAAACCUUUCUCAUUUGGUCCCAACACUCAAUGUAGACUGGUAAAGGAGAAAAGAGUCAUGGUGAACAAGGUUGAAAAAUUGUUGGAUGUCUUUCCCUAGGUUAUGUUUUCUUCAGGUAUAAGUAAUGUUUCUGGAAAUUUUGUAUCAUGAAAUUUAUUGGAUAUGAAAUGUUGUUGCUUCUGAAA